rnacentral:tRNA from 1 species
AGGCAUGUGGCUUAGUGGUUAAAGUAUUCAACUCACAAUCAUAAGGUCAUGAGUUCGAUUCCCAGCAUGUUGU